AUACUUGAACAAGGAAUAGUGAACUUUAACAUACAGCCUAUAAUUCAUUAAUUAGGAUGAGGAAGGAGAUGUAGAAAUGAAAAAAUUUAGUUAACGUAAAACAGAUUAUACGAUCAUUUACAAAUUAUAUCAACUGUACGCAAUUUAAUCAAUGAAGUAGUGGGGAUGUAGAUGAGACAGUAUAGAAUACAUCACAACGAGUAAUGGGAGAAAAAAAUUGUAGUAGUUGCGCGGGUUUUGCUCGGCCUCGGGCUUUACUUUCUAAUCCGAUGACUGUGAGUUACGUGUUUUGCAAAAUUAUUUAGCAAGUGUGCAUUUUAUGCUUUAAGUCUAAACGAAAUGGGAUCCGAGUUAACUUUAAGUUGAGGCUUUGCUUUUGAUAUAGGUAUGCGCAUGCGAUUUACAAAAAUCUAAUCGAACAGAAGUAAGUAUGUGUGUAUGAUAAUAACAUUUUGAUAAAUAAAGAAAACUGGCUAAACAUAUAUUAUGUAGAAUUGAAAGAGCAUAAUUACAAGAAGAAAGACACUUGAAGAUAUGUUGUGAUGUCAUUAGAUGUAGCGACUUUACAAACAUGAAACUAUGAGGAAAAAAAGAGUUACUGAGAGAGAUUGAUGAUAUUUUAUAUACACCAUGACUCCAAAGAUUGAAGGAAGUUAAUAAAUAAACAUUGUGAUUCAUAUUUUAAUCAAUUAUGUAAAAUGCGGCCAGUUGUAAUGUAAUGCGACUAAUUUGAUGCCAGUAAUGUGUGUUAAAUAAUAGUCAAGGACAAUCUGCAAGUUCCUUAGAAAGGUCCGGUUUCGAAGAGGCACACUUAAUAUCCGAGGGCGGCGCAGUUGAAAUAACCAGCCCGGUUGAACGCUACAUUCUCCUAUACUUAACCUGCAAAUGUUUCCGUCGUUAAGGAUUUUAGAUAUAUAGCUUAGCAACAUUCAUCCCAAUGUGAACUUUAAAGCAGUCAUAGUUGACCAGAAGAUGAGCAACAAAUUCAACGUAAAGGCUUGCGUCUCAGCGACUGCUCAAAAUAUAGAUUUACACAACAACUUUACAUAUUAAGCGAUAUUUAAAGGACCGACAGUCUCGGUCUCUUUUCGCAUAGAACGGAAGGGCAUUUACAUCAUGGGGAUGUAAAUGGACCUUUUUUGAUCUACAAAAUGGGAAUCUAAAAAAUCUGUCAAAGAUAGACAUAUGUGUCUCUGCUUACAUAUAUAUACAUAUAUAUAUAGGCUGAAUCACUUUCAACUUGCCUUUUCCCAAUAUUAAAAUUAUCGCACAAGUCGCUACUUUAGCUACUACUAACUUUUAGGGUAAGAAAGUGUAAGGGGGGAUUUGCUUGGAGACUAGGCAUGAGCUUGUAUUUAAUUGGAAUAAAAGAAAAAGAAUAGGAAUUCAUGAAUUUGUUGAAUGAAAUUGCAAAACUGCAAGUCAUUUGUAUGAAACAUAAAGCAGAUGAAUCCCAGGUUUUCGGUUACGAUGCGACGUUUGCCGAUGAACAGAAAUGGUAAAUGGUUUCGCAUUUGAUUCCGCAAUACCGCAAACAGAAAAUUUUAUAAA
rnacentral:lncRNA from 1 species